GACGAGGUUGCCAAGCGGUUAAGGGGAUGGACUGCUAAUCCACGCGUGGGUUCAAUCCCAUCCUCGUCG
rfam:Danio rerio chromosome 17, GRCz11 reference primary assembly.